rnacentral:rRNA from 1 species
CGAGAUGCCUAAAAAGCAUUUCAUAGCAAGGGCCGGGCAAGACCGGUGCCAGCCGCCGCGGUAACACCGGCGGCUCGAGUGGUAACCGUUAUUAUUGGGUCUAAAGGGUCUGUAGCCGGCCGGAUAAGUCUCUUGAGAAAUCUGGCAGCUUAACUGUCAGGCUUUCAGGAGAUACUGUCUGGCUCGAGGCCGGGAGAGGUGAGAGGUACUUCAGGGGUAGGGGUGAAAUCUUGUAAUCCUUGAAGGACCACCAGUGGCGAAGGCGUCUCACCAGAACGGACCUGACGGCAAGGGACGAAAGCUAGGGGCACGAACCGGAUUAGAUACCCGGGUAGUCCUAGCCGUAAACGAUACUCGCUAGGUGUCGGCCACGGUGCGACCGUUGUCGGUGCCGUAGGGAAGCCGUGAAGCGAGCCACCUGGGAAGUACGGCCGCAAGGCUGAAACUUAAAGGAAUUGGCGGGGGAGCACCACAACGGGUGGAGCUUGCGGUUUAAUUGGAUUCAACGCCGGGAAGGGC